AGCGAACGCUGGCGGCAUGCCUAACACAUGCAAGUCGAACGCCCCGCAAGGGGAGUGGCGAACGGGUGAGUAACGCGUGGGAACCUACCCAGCAGUUGGGGAUAACCGCGGGAAACUGCGGCUAAUACCGAAUACGUCCUUAGGGAGAAAGAUUUAUCGCUGUUGGAGGGGCCCGCGUCGGAUUAGCUAGUUGGUGAGGUAACGGCUCACCAAGGCGACGAUCCGUAGCUGGUCUGAGAGGAUGAUCAGCCACACUGGGACUUAGACACGGCCCAGACUCCUACGGGAGGCAGCAGUGGGGAAUAUUGGACAAUGGGGGCAACCCUGAUCCAGCAAUGCCGCGUGAGUGAUGAAGGCCUUAGGGUUGUAAAGCUCUUUUACCGGGGACGAUGAUGACGGUACCCGGAGAAUAAGCCCCGGCUAACUUCGUGCCAGCCGCCGCCGUAA
rnacentral:rRNA from 1 species